rnacentral:rRNA from 1 species
UAGUGGCGAACGGGUGAGUAACACGUGGGCAAUCUGCCCUGCACUCUGGGACAAGCCCUGGAAACGGGGUCUAAUACCGGAUACUGACCCGCUUGGGCAUCCAAGCGGUUCGAAAGCUCCGGCGGUGCAGGAUGAGCCCGCGGCCUAUCAGCUAGUUGGUGAGGUAAUGGCUCACCAAGGCGACGACGGGUAGCCGGCCUGAGAGGGCGACCGGCCACACUGGGACUGAGACACGGCCCAGACUCCUACGGGAGGCAGCAGUGGGGAAUAUUGCACAAUGGGCGAAAGCCUGAUGCAGCGACGCCGCGUGAGGGAUGACGGCCUUCGGGUUGUAAACCUCUUUCAGCAGGGAAGAAGCGAAAGUGACGGUACCUGCAGAAGAAGCGCCGGCUAACUACGUGCCAGCAGCCGCGGUAAUACGUAGGGCGCAAGCGUUGUCCGGAAUUAUUGGGCGUAAAGAGCUCGUAGGCGGCUUGUCACGUCGGUUGUGAAAGCCCGGGGCUUAACCCCGGGUCUGCAGUCGAUACGGGCAGGCUAGAGUUCGGUAGGGGAGAUCGGAAUUCCUGGUGUAGCGGUGAAAUGCGCAGAUAUCAGGAGGAACACCGGUGGCGAAGGCGGAUCUCUGGGGCCGAUACUGACGCUGAGGAGCGAAAGCGUGUGGAGCGAACAGGAUUAGAUACCCUGGGUAGUC